rnacentral:rRNA from 1 species
UAAUACUAGCGGUCCAAGUCGCAGCCAUUUUUAUUGGGUCUAAAACAUCCGUAGCUUGCUUGGUAAGUUUCCUGUGAAAUCCUAUCUCUUAAAGAUAGGGCGUGCAGGAAGUACUGCCGAGCUAGAGACUGGAAGACGUAGGAAGUACGAUCAAAGUAGCGGUAAAAUGCAUUAAUCUUGAUUGGACUAACGAUAGCGAAGGCAUCCUACGAGGACAGUUCUGACAGUAAGGGAUGAAAGCUAGGGGCGCAAAACGGAUUAGAUACCCGUGUAGUCCUAGCUGUAAACACUGCACACUAAACAUUAGUAUCUCCUCGAGAGGUAUUAGUGCUGCAGCGAAGGCGAAGAGUGUGCUACCUGGGAAGUAUAGUCGCAAGGCCG